CGAACGGGGAUGCAUUAAGAAGGAGUGCUUGCAUUCCGGAAGGAUGUAUCUUAGUGGCGGACGGGUGAGUAACGCGUGGGUAACCUGCCCCAUACCGGGGGAUACCACCUGGAAACAGGUGCUAAUACCGCAUAAGCGCACGGGAGCGCAUGCUCCUGUGUGAAAAACUCCGGUGGUAUGGGAUGGACCCGCGUCUGAUUAGCCAGUUGGCAGGGUAACGGCCUACCAAAGCGACGAUCAGUAGCCGGCCUGAGAGGGUGGACGGCCACAUUGGGACUGAGACACGGCCCAAACUCCUACGGGAGGCAGCAGUGGGGAAUAUUGCACCAUGGGGGAAACCCUGAUGCAGCGACGCCGCGUGAGUGAAGAAGUAUUUCCGUAUGUUAAGCUCUAUCAGCCAGAACGAAACAAGACGGUACCCUGACCAAGAAAGCCCCGGCUAAACUACCUGCCAGCAGCCGCGGUAAUACGUAGGGAGCAAGCGUUAUCCGGAAUCACUGGGUGUAAAGGGAGCGUAGACGGCUGUGCAAGCCUGAAGUGAAAGGCGGGGGCCCAACCCCCGGACUGCUUUGGGAACUGUACGGCUGGAGUGCAGGAGAGGUAACUGGAAUUCCUAGUGUAGCGCUGAAAUGCGU
rnacentral:rRNA from 1 species